AUGGAGACGCGGCCGCGCCGGGCCCGGCCGCCAUGGAGGCGACGGGCAGCCGUUACCGCGGGGACAUCGUGAGGGGCAGGUGGGCCCGGAGGGGCACGGGGCUGCCCGCUCCUCCUCCCGCCCUCCCUCCUUCCCUCCCCAACCGCCCUGUCUCUUCCAGGAUGGAGGGACAGGGCUCCUACGCGCUACCGACAGGCACCGAGUACCGGGGAGCGCUGAGGGACGGGAUGUUCGACGGCGAAGGAGAGCUGCUGUUCCCCAACGGCGGCACAUACCGGGCGGUCUGGCACCGCGGGGUGCCCACGCAGGGGAAAUACACUUUUGCAGAUGGUCUCGAAUACAAAGAUAAAAAAUGGCAUUACUGUGACGGCUACGACAGAAGAUUUUAUACAGAAAUCUGUUCUGGUCUUAAACCAGCAGGCAUUUCUCAGCUUACAAAUCUGGAUCCUCCCAGAAAAAUCCCAGUAGGAUGUUACGACUGUGGCGAUGGAUUCUAUAAUCCUGAGACCAGAGUUAUUGUUGACUACAAACUCAGGUUUCUGAGAAACGCAGCUAGCCCUGGAGCCAUUCUUAUCUCUGGGUUUGUGGUUCUUCUCGCUAUGCUGGAUCAAUUCUUUCGUUUCCCCUUACCCAGACCAAGGACCAGUAGCACGGUAUGCCUGGGUUGGAUGGCAGUUCCAGGGAUUUGCUUCAGGUUAUUUUUUUUUAAUACUGAGUCAUUACAUCUAUUUUUCCUUUUCAUAUACAAAGUUGAAAUCCAUAUAACUCAUUCAGUUUUUACAUCUGAUUAAGCUAUAUGCAAGUUAAGCAGUGCUUAUGAACAUGUGUUUAAUUUGCAUGGGAUCAGAUCACUGCAUGAAUUGAGGCAUUUUGGGACCGGGGAGGCUAAAAUCCUUAGAGCAACCUGCCCUGUGUGCUUUCCCAGGAGACCAUGAAAACCCAGAGGGCAGAAGGAAACAGUCCAAGCAAACCAAGGACGUGUUGGAAACCUGAAAGCCAAGUUAGCAUCUGCCUUGCUUAGUGCUUAUAGCCUUGCUGCUCAGCGAAGUGAGCACUGUACAUUUCUCACUAGGAAGACAGAUCGAUUAUUUCUCGUACUCAGAUGACGAUGAGCAUGAAUGGAUCAUUCGGACCUGCCGGAAAGCCUGGGAUGAAACAACUGAACAUAAACCGAAACCGUGAAAGCAGCUUUUGUUAGACGUUAAUAUUCCAAAGCAGGGUCAUCAGGACGCA